rnacentral:rRNA from 1 species
UACGGGGGGGGCAAGCGUUGUUCGGAAUUACUGGGCGUAAAGGGCUCGUAGGUGGCCAACUAAGUCAGACGUGAAAUCCCUCGGCUUAACCGGGGAACUGCGUCUGAUACUGGAUGGCUUGAGUUCGGGAGAGGGAUGCGGAAUUCCAGGUGUAGCGGUGAAAUGCGCAGAUAUCAGGAGGAACACCAGUGGCGAAGGCGGUGAUCUGGGCCGAUACUGACGCUGUAGAGCGAAAGCGUGGGGAGCGAACAGG